CCUACGGGCGGCAGCAGUGAGGAAUAUUGCACAAUGGGGGAAACCCUGAUGCAGCGACGCCGCGUGAGUGAAGAAGUAAUUCGUUAUGUAAAGCUCUAUCAGCAGGGAAGAAAAUGACGGUACCUGACUAAGAAGCCCCGGCUAAAUACGUGCCAGCAGCCGCGGUAAUACGUAGGGGGCAAGCGUUAUCCGGAUUUACUGGGUGUAAAGGGAGCGUAGACGGCGGUGCAAGUCUGGAGUGAAAGGCGGGGGCUCAACCCCCGGACUGCACUGGAAACUGUACGGCUGGAGUGCAGGAGAGGUAAGUGGAAUUCCUAGUGUAGCGGUGAAAUGCGUAGAUAUUAGGAGGAACACCAGUGGCGAAGGCGGCUUACUGGACUGUAACUGACGUUGAGGCUCGAAAGCGUGGGGAGCAAACAGGAUUAGAUACCCCUGUAGUC
rnacentral:rRNA from 1 species